UAAAGAAUGAAAACACAGGGCUUUAUUUACACACUUCAAGAAAACAGAGGGGUGGCUGCAGCCUUGAGAAAAGAUGCCUGAAGUUUCUGGGAAGUCGACAUCCAACCCUGGUGCUUCCCUUGGUUCCAGAGCUCCUGAGCACCCACCCGUUUUUUGACACAGCUGAACCAGACAUGGAUGAUCCAGCAUACAUUGCAGUUUUGGUUCUUAUCUUCAAUGCUGCUAAAAGCUGCCCAACAAUGCCAGCAUUGUUCUCGGAUCAUACCUUCAGGCACUAUGCCUACCUCCGGGACAGUCUUUCUCAUCUUGUUCCUGCCUUGAGGGUAUG